AUGAUCUCCCGAUGUGUUGUUCUGGAAAGUGUCUCACUACAUAACAUGGGCUUUGGUCGCCUUUGUAUUAGCUCGCCCACUCUCAAGAGCAUCGGCUUCUAUGCUCCUCGCGCCAAAGAUGCCAUCACCUUCCAUGAGCUGGUCAUUGACGAUGCACCUUGCCUUGAGAGGUUGCUACCGAUUUAUCCAGAUGAUGGUCCGGUGACCAUACGAGUCAUCCGGGCUCCUAAAUUGGAGGUACUUGGUUUUUUGUCUGAAGGCAUAUCUACACUCCACCUUGGAACCACAGUCUUUCAGAAAAUGAUUGCUGUCACCAUGACAACCAAAAUGCGCUCAGUGAGGAUUUUGGUUCUUGAAUCUAGUCCUAAUCUGGAUUUAGUUAUUGACUUCCUCGUGUGCUUCCCCUGCUUGGUGAAGCUCUAUGUCAUUUUGAAUGCAGGAAAGAAUGUGAAUAUUGUGCGGAAGUAUGAUCAACUUGAUACAAUUGAAUGCCUUGAACUCCAUCUAAAAGAAGUGGUUCUCAAGAAUUACUACGGUGGUUAUAGGCCAUUUUUUGACUUUGCCAAGUUCUUUCUUUUGAAUGCGAAAGUGCUGAAUAAAAUGGAAAUCGGAGGCUCUUAUUACCGCAAUGACGACUGUUAUUUAAGGCUGCUACAAGUGGAGAAUAGAGCCUCUCAAGAUGCACGAAUUGAAGUAAACAGAAAUAUAUUCACUCGCCACGUACGUACCCAUGAUUUGUCAAUGGCUGAUCCCUUUGACUGA
rnacentral:rRNA from 1 species